rnacentral:rRNA from 3 species
GUCGGACCUCGGAUCAGCCUGGAUCACCCGCCGAACUU